rnacentral:rRNA from 1 species
ACCGAUAGUGGAGCAGUACCGUGAGGGAAAGGUGAAAAGAACCCCGGGAGGGGAGUGAAAUAGUACCUGAAACCGUAUGUCUACAAGCAGUCGGAGCGAAAGCGACGGCGUGCCUAUUGAAGAAUGAACCAACGAGUUACGUGCACUAGCGAGGUUAAGUGGAAGACACGGAGCCGAAGCGAAAGCGAGUCUUAAGAGGGCGGAUAGUUAGUGUACGUAGACCCGAAACCGCAGUGAUCUACCCAUGUCCAGGUUGAAGCGCAGGUAAAAUUGCGUGGAGGACCGAACCUGUGAGCGUUGAAAAGCUUUAGGAUGAGAUGUGGGUAGAGGUGAAAUUCCAAUCGAACGCGGAGAUAGCUGGUUCUCCCCGAAAUAGCUUUAGGGCUAGCCUCAAGUAGUAAGUAUAGGCGGUAGAGCACUGAUCGGGCUAGGGGCCAUAAAGGUUACCGAACCCUGUCAAACUCCGAAUGGUUAUACUGUAGAGCUUGGGAGUCAGACUACGAGUGAUAAGAUCCGUGGUCAAAAGGGAAACAGCCCAGACCACCAGCUAAGGUCCCCAAUGUCGUACUAAGUGGAAAAGGAUGUGGGGUCUCUAAAACAACCAGGAUGUUGGCUUAGAAGCAGCCACCAUUUAAAGAGUGCGUAAUAGCUCACUGGUCGAGAGACCCUGCGCCGAAGAUUACCGGGGCUAAAGUACGAAACCGAAGCUGUGGCUACGACGUAAGUCGUGGGGUAGGGGAGCGUUCUGUGAGGGCUGAAGUCGUUCUGUAAGGAACGGUGGACUUCACAGAAGUGAGAAUGUUGGUAUGAGUAGCGAAAAGAAUGGUGAGAAUCCAUUCCACCGAAAGCAUAAGGAUUCCUGGGCAACGAUCGUCGUCCCAGGGUAAGUCGGGACCUAAUCCGAGGCAUGGAGCGUAGGAGAUGGACAACUGGCAGAUAUUCCAGUACCGGUAAUGAUUGUUUGAGCGAUGGAGUGACACAGGAGGGCAGGCAGGCAGGAGAUUGGUUGUUCCUGUACAAGCGUGUAGGAUGGGACGUAGGCAAAUCCGCGUCCUGUGAGUCUGAGGCGUGAUGUGGAGGUUCCGGAAACGGAACUGAAGCUGCUGACCCCACACUGUCGAGAAAAGCUUCUAGUUAGAGAAUUACCGCCCGUACCGUAAACCGACACAGGUAUGCGGGGAGAGAAUCCUAAGGUGCGCGGGAGAACCCUCGUUAAGGAACUCGGCAAAAUGUACCCGUAACUUCGGGAUAAGGGUAGCCGCUGUUGUGAAGUCUGCACAGACGGAGCAUGAGGCGGUCGCAGAGAAGAGGCCCAAGCGACUGUUUACCACAAACACAGGUGCCUGCUAAAGAGAAAUCUGACGUAUAGGUGCUGACACCUGCCCAGUGCCGGAAGGUUAAGGAAGGAUGUCCGGAGCAAUCCAAAGCAUUCGACCGAAGCCCCGGUGAACGGCGGCCGUAACUAUAACGGUCCUAAGGUAGCGAAAUUCCUUGUCGGGUAAG